AAUCUCAGGGUCGCAGCUGGGGAGUUCCCGGUACUCUACCAGUCUCGGCUACGGGAGGGAGAGUCAAGCAGAGGCCUGUCCAUUCCAUUCCUAGCUUGGGCAGUGGCUAGCGAGUGGAAGGCAAUGUGCUACAAGU
rnacentral:snoRNA from 1 species